rnacentral:lncRNA from 1 species
AUGACUUGGAGCAUGCACAGCACCCUUGGGCAGUGCUGUCUGGUCCUGCCAAGACAUGAUAGAUAUAGAAACACAGAUGUUCUGCCAUCUACAGGAAGUUGGUCCGUACCAUCACAGGUUUCUCCGAGGUGGAAGUCGCACAAACCAAGCACAUCAGCCAAGAUCUGUUUGCUCCACAGUCCCACACAAUGGAGGGGGGCAAAGGACUGCUUGGUGAUGCUUAAUGCACAUUCUCUGGGCUGAAAACCAGGUGGGAGAAUUUGCAGGGGAUGCCCUUCUUUCUCUUCCACAGCAAAAAAGGUAAGGGCCAGCAGGGUAUCUGAAGCAGAGGGCUGUGGGUACAGCACCCACGGGUGCACAGAAAGUUGGAUAGGUUGUGGUUACUGAGCAUAUGCAGAGGCCAGUUCUUACUGCAUAUGAGACCAUGUGAUGGCUCUGUGGUAAAAUGGCCAAAAAGCAGUGAAUUGUGGAAGGAUAUGCGGUCCCUUAACUUUAUGUACGAGUCUGAAUUUUCCAUUGCUGAGAGGCGAUGAGUGACUGCAGAUGACCACAGCUUGUGGGGUCACAGRUGACAUGGGCUGCAAUGCUCGACCUACCACAGUGGGAAGCUGCGGACACUGAAAGAGCUUUUGACCCCCAGGCAAAAGUGGUGCAGAGCAGGGAGAUGACUGCUGCCUUACCUUCUUUUGGCUGAUGCCACCUGGACAAGGAGAGGAAGUGGCAAAAGAACUUGACUUUUUGAACUAUAAUCUUGGUUUCUCUCCCUGUGUUCCAGGUACCUUUCUUCCACCAAGGCAUAUUUGCCAGGAGUCAGACCUGAUAAAUAGGCAUAGCUUUAGCCCCAUCAGUCAUACACCAGUUCUAGGUGUCGGGGUUUUUUGAUUUCUUUAACUGAGGGACUGGGAAAAAGGGGUGGGUGGACAUGUAAUGACUAUCAGCAGAACCACAUUACAAGCAAGGCCAACCAAAUUUGGCCUUGAAUCAAUGGUAGGAAAUUGUCUAGGUAAAUCAUUCAAAUUAUGUGAAUGCAUAGUGUGCCUGCAUUUGUAUGUUCAUGUAUCUUUUAUUUUCAAAGAUCAAAAUGUAAAAUCUCUGCAACAACUUCAAACUUUAUUGAGGAACUUAAAAAAGGCUACAUCUUUUUCUUGAAAGUAGUGUUGUUUCCAUUGCCGAGCUAGCAUUUUCUCAAAGAGAGGAAAACUGUUGUCCUUUAAGUGUACUUGACCUAGGUCUCCUUUUAUAC